CCUACGGGAGGCAGCAGUAGGGAAUAUUGCUCAAUGGGGGAAACCCUGAAGCAGCAACGCCGCGUGGAGGAUGAAGGUUUUCGGAUUGUAAACUCCUUUUGUUAGAGAAGAUAAUGACGGUAUCUAACGACUAAGCACCGGCUAACUCCGUGCCAGCAGCCGCGGUAAUACGGAGGGUGCAAGCGUUACUCGGAAUCACUGGGCGUAAAGGGCGCGACGGCGGGAUAGCAAGUCAGCUGUGAAAUCCUAAGGCGUAACCAUUGAACUGCAUUUGAAACUGUUAUUCUAGAGUAUGGGAGAGGUAGGGGGAUUGCUUGGUGUAGGGGAAAAAUCC
rnacentral:rRNA from 1 species